CCACCUUAGGCACGGCCGAUCUCGUCUGAUCUUGGAAGCUAAGCAGGGUCGG
rnacentral:rRNA from 10 species